ACAUAUGCCUUGUUUCAAUUAUGCACAACACACAUAUUAUUUAUUUUAGUAAAAUAUUACUUUGAAUGUGUAGUCAAAUUAAUGGUUUAUUUUAGGACUCAAUAACCAUUACCUAUUUGUUCUAGUAGAAAAUAAUUUCUAGGUAAUAAUCUUUGUUAUAGUAUACUUUUAAUUUAAAACUUUUAGAGGAAAUUUAUAAGUACAUUGUUAACUGGACUCAUAUAAGGAUCUUCUCAUUUAAUCUUUU
rnacentral:lncRNA from 7 species